CACAACGAAACCGGUCGAGCGGACGCACGCUGUUACAACACUUCCACGAGUACAUACAACAUCUGAUUUGUUUUCAUGAAAUUGUGUGUUUUCUACAAAGAUCCCAGGCAGUGAAAGCUAAUUGCUCCCACAAGCUUGAGAGACCUUGUAUGGGUUGGAUAUCUGCAUUGCCAAAGAACCCGGAGAAGUGGGACACGGACACGGAGAAGUGGGGGAAGGAAACAGCCUGAUGGUCCAUUCAAAUACAGAGGCAACAAAUGCCCCUUUGCCAUAAAUGUCUUAUAGAGGAGGGAUCUAUUAUUCAUAUGGUAUGGGAAUGCAAUAGGAUUCGCCCCUUUAUGGUCCCAGGUCACUCAGUUUAUUACAGACACUUUCGAUCUUUCAUAUAUCUGUAGCCCGCUGCUGGGGCUUUUGGGUGUAAUUAAGGAUGGAGUAAUGGGCAAUAAUCUGAGGACUCUACUGCGACUGUUGUUCUUUUAUGUACGAAAACUGAUUGCACUUAAUUGGAUUAGGAGAGAACAUUUAACACUAUAAUUCUGGAAGGCCCUGGUGAAUACCAAUGUUACCUUGUAUAAAAUGACCUACAAAACAAGGGGAUACCCCAAAAAAUUCAAUACAAUUUGCAAUAAAUGGGUUAACGCUAAUCAUACAGUGACAGAAGGCCCUUGAGAUUUCUAUACUGUAUAUUAAACUACAGUCUGUACUGAA